rnacentral:lncRNA from 1 species
AUGGUGGUGUCAUUCUGCUAUCAAAUAUAGUUGCAUACAACAAACUUAUGGGGGACACAAGAAAUAUAUACCUGUUGUAACAUCUCAUAAUGAACCAAGUUCAUAUGAGAAGUGAUGUGAGCAUGGACAUGAACCAGAAAGAGAAGGCCCAAUCCAAAGAAAGAGGAGGAAAUAGUCCAAAAAGGAGAUCUUAUGGCCAAC